CCUCUGUUUUGCUCUAUUUUUCUGCUCAUCUCCACUGAAAAUUUCAGCAUCAAUUUUUAGUUUUAAGGAAAGGAAAAUUAAAGUUGUUCUUAGUUCUUCUUGCUUGAGUGUGAGACCAACUUGAAGAAAUCACUACAGUCUAAUCUUGGUAGGUUGUUCAGCCAAGAGAGCUAUUCACACCGAGUUCUACUCCGGGUGAUGUCUCCAAGAAAGAAAACAGUUGCAAAGAAGUCUUCUAAGCAUCUUCGAUUUGACAACAAACUUUUUAGAAGUAGUGAUGCUUUUGAGGCUUAUACAGAUUUAUUCAGCUCGGUUGUGAUCAUUGUGGAAAGGGAAGUGAACCUUGACUCACUCUCUCAGAGAUUCAUUCCAGAGGUGUUCAGGGAUUGAACUUGGACUAAGUUCCU